UCUCCGUUGGUGAACCAGCGGAGGGAUCAUUACAGGACUCGCAAGACUCCUUCACCCUGUGAACCUCCCUCCAAGCACGUUGCUUCGGCGGGUGUCCCGGCGGGGGUUUUCCCUCGCCGGGGCGCACAGCCCGCCGGCAGCCUACUAUACUCUGUCUCUUUGCGGUUGCAUCGCGAGAAAAAACAAACAAGUUAAAACUUUCAACAACGGAUCUCUUGGUUCUG
rnacentral:misc_RNA from 1 species